CUUUGUCGUCUAUUUCAAUCCCAUUCAUUGGUAAUAUCGACCAAGUUACUUAAAACUGUACAUCAACAUGAAGAUCGCGCUGGUGUUAUUUCUUUGCACUGUUUUAGUGGGCACGAUCGGAUAUGCAGAAGCUCAAACUGUAGACAUAGAACCGGCAAUCGUCGAGCUGAUAUCAGCGCUUCGAUACAUGUCGUCUAGAAUGGGCAGUAAUCCGAUCGUACAAAGUGCUAUUGAAGAAAUGAUAGGCACAAUUCAAAAAUAUUCUGGCGUUAAUGGUUUCAGAUACUACCCGUAUGGCAUUAAAGGUUAAACUAGAGAUUUAACCUCUUCGAUACUUCCGGAGUAUGAUCGUUCGCCGCCAAACGACGUGAAGUGACAGUCAUUUGUUCAAUCUUGCAAGGCGGUAAAGGUUUCGCUUGUUGAACUACAAACCAUGGAUAUGCAAACUGCAAGAACCAAAACAUUACUAAAUCAUCGGUCAAAAAUGUAUUUAAUAUAAUCAAAUUAAAACUCCUAAUAAAAAUUGCUUACUUGUAAUAAGCCUGGUACGUGUUUUUCAAUGAUUCAACGAUGUAUUUUAUGUAUAAAUACAAUCACAAUAAAGAAGGCAAUAAUAAACACAUUUACCACAAUUCAUCACACAUGUAUAGUGUUGUACACAACCGUAUCGCUUCCUUAUCAACCGACUGUACUUUUUAUCAACAUACGUUACAAACACUAGUGCCAGUGCAUAUGCACAGCAGUUGAAGUUCGCCAUUGCAAUGAAGCUAUCCAUGAAACUGUUUAUUCUCUCCCAAGUAGUGGUGACGGGAGUGGUGGUUGCUAAAAAGCAUCCCGACAAAUUGCAGAGUAUGUUUGGCAUGACAAAAGCGUCCUCCGAUGCAUCGACUGUAGCAGUACCCACUGUAGAUUAAUAAAACUGCUCCUUCUGCUGAUUGUAGAGGCUAUUUCAUACAAUAAAACCUUUGAACAAAGCAUUAUUUAUUAUGAUCGAGGAAUAAGUUACACUACAUCCUAAUUUUUUGGCAAAAAGUUGUGCUGAAACACUUUUAUUUGCAUAAAUCAACUGGCAAAUAAUCUUCAAAUCAUCGCCAUCGGUUUGUCGUGGUUUUCGAGCCACAUCUCAUCAAGAUUUGUACAAUAUUUUCAAAAUGAAUAUAACAUGCAUUUUGAUGCAUCAUUUCGAAGUUAGUCAAAGUUUCAAUUUUAUAAUGGGUAAAUGUUUAACUUUAGUUUGACGCGUGUAAAGCAAAAUUACUCAGAUUACUCAUUGCGUGAUUUUCGUUUGAAAUUUAAAAGUUGGUUAUGAAAUGUGUGAGCAUUUCUUUUGAUGAUACCUUUACAAUUUAUAGUGCAAUUUAAUGAUUAUGGUGACCAAAAAAUGCAACAAAAACCAUGUGAUUUUUUUUAAUAUUGUACGAAUUUUUAAGAGAUGCAGCUUCGAAACUCCGGAAAAAAUAAUAGAAAUAGACCCAUCAAGUGUUAAAAAUCAUACUGAAGAAAUUUAAAAUUGGUAUUUAUAUGGAAUAAAAUCUUGCACGCGGUGAUAAACAAUGUUUACAUUCAAAAGUGACUUGGAAAAUUCUGUACUGAAGCCAAAUAAAGGAUAUGAAAUAAAUCAAAAAUACUAGAAAGCGACUAAGUUACCAAUAUAAUUACUCCCUAUAAUGCAUUUUUGACGGCACACCGACUUAAUGAUUGCUUUCUUCAAAUUGUUCUUCAUUUUUACACAAUAUACACGAUAAUGUUUUUCAUUAUUCAGCUUUGCUGCAGUAUUCCGAUUCGAUCCAGCUAUAGCACUGUAUAUAAACAAUCAACCAUAGAGAUGUUUUCUUUUCAGCUCCAUUAGCUAUUUAAGCUUGUAAAAUCAUUUGGCGAAGUUCACUUUGCGGUUCUUGAUUAUCGAUACACAUUUUCUAGGAUGAAGCUCGUCGUACUGAUUUUCAUGUUCGUGCUGCUUGCCCUGGCCGGACACGUGAGUGCUAAGCAACCGGAUCCCCCAUUUUUAGACUGUUUAGAUAAAUAUGGCAACAUUGUAGUGUGUUAUCCUGGGGGACUACCAAGGCACAAAUAAAACAUAUCAUAUUGUAUUGUUCACUGUUGAAUUUUGAACCCGA